UUAGAGGCAAACGGGUGGACCCGCAAUAGACGUCGACCCGGGGGAUUCAACCAGGCCGUGCGUUCGGGACGCGUGGGGGUUAUGCGGAGCUGUAAAGCCCGUGCCUUUGCGCAGGUCUCCGGGCGGACUGGUGCACUUUCCUCGGGUUGAUUGCCACGACCGGCUCUCCGUGCGGCCAAAAGCCUUUGCUGGGAAGGUGACCGUCGGCCUCCGCGGCGGCGGUGUUAUAGACUAGCUUGUUCGUUGAGCUCGUCGGAGGGCCGAGGAAGUGUUGCCGUUUCUCGUCCACCCUCUGGCCAUCCUUGCUCGUCACGACUGGGGUGAACUGCUUGGCCAGUGCUCUCCCGACCGCGAGCGUAGGAAGGGCUGGUACGGUGCGAGAAAGCUUCGGGCCAGUGGCGAAUCGGUCGGUCCUCCACCCGACCCGUCUUGAA
rnacentral:rRNA from 1 species